GGGGGUAGGAAGGGUGUUGGGUGAGGAGGACUGAGGUAUGGGGUAGGAAGGGUGUUGGGUGAGGAGGACUGAGGUAUGGGGGUAGGAAGGGUGAGGACUGAGGUAUGGGGUAGGGAAGGGGUGAGGAGGGGGGAGGAAUGAGGUAUGGUGUUGGUGAGGGAUUGAGGUAUGGUGUUGGGUGAGAAGGGGUGAGGGAUUGAGAUACAUUGAAGGGUGAGGACUGAGGUAUGGGGGUAGGAAGGGUGUUGGGUGAGGAGGACUGAGGUAUGGGGUAGGAAGGGUGUUGGGUGAGGAGGACUGAGGUAUGGGGUAGG